rnacentral:rRNA from 1 species
AUACGUAGGGGGCAAGCGUUAUCCGGAUUUACUGGGUGUAAAGGGAGCGUAGACGGCAUGGCAAGUCUGAUGUGAAAACCCGGGGCUCAACCCCGGGAUUGCAUUGGAAACUGUCAAGCUAGAGUGCAGGAGAGGUAAGUGGAAUUCCUAGUGUAGCGGUGAAAUGCGUAGAUAUUAGGAGGAACACCAGUGGCGAAGGCGGCUUACUGGACUGUAACUGACGUUGAGGCUCGAAAGCGUGGGGAGCAAACAGGAUUAGAUACCCUGGUAGUCCACGCCGCAAACGAUGAAUACUAGGUGUUGGGAGGAACUAUCCUUUCGGUGCCGCAGCAAACGCAAUAAGUAUUCCACCUGGGGAGUACGUUCGCAAGAAUGAAACUCAAAUGAAUUGACGGGG